rnacentral:rRNA from 1 species
UACGUAGGGUGCGAGCGUUAAUCGGAAUUACUGGGCGUAAAGCGUGCGCAGGCGGUUGAUGAUAAGACAGGUUGUGAAAUCCCCGGGCUACACUGGGAACUGCGCUUGUUACUGGCAGGCUUGAGUGUGGCAGAGGGGGGGUGGAAUUCCACGUGUAGCAGUGAAAUGCGUAGAGAUGUGGAGGAACACCGAUGGCGAAGGCAGCCCCCUGGGCUAACACUGACGCUCAUGCACGAAAGCGUGGGGAGCAAACAGG